rnacentral:tRNA from 1 species
GCGAGCUGUAGCGGUCUCGCCAGACGCCCAGCAGCCGACUCUUAAUCCGCAGGCUCAGGGUUCGAAUCCCUGGGGGCGCA